rnacentral:rRNA from 1 species
GACGAACGCUGGCGGCGUGCUUAACACAUGCAAGUCGAACGGAAAGGCCCUGCUUUUGUGGGGUGCUCGAGUGGCGAACGGGUGAGUAACACGUGAGUAACCUGCCCUUGACUUUGGGAUAACUUCAGGAAACUGGGGCUAAUACCGGAUAGGAGCUCCUGCUGCAUGGUGGGGGUUGGAAAGUUUCGGCGGUUGGGGAUGGACUCGCGGCUUAUCAGCUUGUUGGUGGGGGAGUGGCUUACCAAGGCUUUGACGGGUAGCCGGCCUGAGAGGGUGACCGGCCACAUUGGGACUGCGGUACGGCCCAGAGUGCUACGGUGGGCAGCAGUGGGGAAUAUUGCACAAUGGGAGGACGCCGGAUGCAGCAGCGCCGCGUUCGGGAUGACGGCCUUCGGGUUGUAAACCGCUUCCGCCUGUGACGAAGCGUGAGUGACGGUAAUGGGUAAAUAAGCACCGGCUAACUACGUG